rnacentral:lncRNA from 1 species
ACAAUUUUAAUUGAAGCUAAGGCAUUUAUUUCAUAGGAUAAACAGUUAGACGUGAUAGAUACUGACACAAGAGACGAAAUAUGAUACAACUCGAACACUGCAACUCGGCAACUUUCAAAAAAUUAGGACAAAUACAAUGCAUCAACACCGCUAAUAAAAUAUGAUAUUAUUAAUAUAAUAAUAUAUAUUAUUAUAUAUAAAAUAUUAAUUUUAAUAAAAUAUUAUUAUAUUUUUCAUAUAAAUGAAAGUUAAUAAAAUUUUUAUUAAUAGUUCAUAUAUUUUAAGAAGAGAAAAUUUUCACCAUACAUAAUUUAUUUCUUUUGUCAAAAAAAUUUGUAUACAUUCAUCAAAAGGUAAAAAUAUUUAUCGUCUUAUAUUAUAUAUGCAUAAAAAAGUAAAAUAAAAAAUAUAUAUAUUUUCUUAAAUUGUUGCACUAUAAAUCGGCAUUAAACGCACGUCCAAAAAUUAUUCACAUCGAACUCGUAUCUAACACGAACACGCGCGUGUCCGAUACGUAUAUGGGAGGCUUAUAGAAGUGUCCGUGAUAUAUAGAUAAACAAUCACAGACUCCUCAAACUCUUUGAAAGAAAACCAACUAGAAAAUCCGCGUGAAACAAGGUCCCUUUUUUAGCUAGUUUAUCAGCACGUUGUGAAAAUAAACUAUAUCUAGAACUACUUGCAGUGAAAUCGAGAUAUGCCGGCCCCUCUUAUACAAGCAGGAAUGAACGAUAAUCGUCGAAUCUAUGUAAAUUAAGCACUUCAUAUUAAGCCGAUUAUUUAGAAACCACUUGACCGUCUCAGUACACGCUUGUAUCUCAACAACAAUAGCACUUUCUGAUUCCACGGAAUGCGCUAAACCGACCAGUUGAAAUCAUUAAUCAAAUUAGGCCAAAAUAGCACAAAUGAAAGCGCCUUCCCAACCACUAA